AUUGAACGCUGGCGGCAUGCCUUACACAUGCAAGUCGAACGGCAGCACGGGAGCUUGCUCCUGGUGGCGAGUGGCGAACGGGUGAGUAAUACAUCGGAACGUACCCUGAAGUGGGGGAUAACGUAGCGAAAGUUGCGCUAAUACCGCAUAUUCUGUGAGCAGGAAAGCAGGGGACCGCAAGGCCUUGCGCUCUUUGAGCGGCCGAUGUCAGAUUAGCUAGUUGGUGAGGUAAAGGCUUACCAAGGCGACGAUCUGUAGCGGGUCUGAGAGGAUGAUCCGCCACACUGGAACUGAGACACGGUCCAGACUCCUACGGGAGGCAGCAGUGGGGAAUUUUGGACAAUGGGGGCAACCCUGAUCCAGCCAUGCCGCGUGAGUGAAGAAGGCCUCGGUUGUAAG
rnacentral:rRNA from 1 species